rnacentral:piRNA from 1 species
GGAGUUCCUUCAGGACACACUGUCCUA